rnacentral:rRNA from 1 species
GACGAACGCUGGCGGCGUGCCUAAUACAUGCAAGUUGAGCGAUGAAGAUUGGUGCUUGCACCAAUUUGAAGAGCAGCGAACGGGUGAGUAACGCGUGGGGGAUCUGCCUUUGAGCGGGGGACAACAUUUGGAAACGAAUGCUAAUACCGCAUAACAACUUUAAACAUAAGUUUUAAGUUUGAAAGAUGCAAUUGCAUCACUCAAAGAUGAUCCCGCGUUGUAUUAGCUAGUUGGUGAGGUAAAGGCUCACCAAGGCGAUGAUACAUAGCCGACCUGAGAGGGUGAUCGGCCACAUUGGGACUGAGACACGGCCCAAACUCCUACGGGAGGCAGCAGUAGGGAAUCUUCGGCAAUGGACGAAAGUCUGACCGAGCAACGCCGCGUGAGUGAAGAAGGUUUUCGGAUCGUAAAACUCUGUUGGUAGAGAUGAACGUUGGUGAGAGUGGAAAGCUCAUCAAGUGACGGUAACUACCCAGAAAGGGACGGCUAACUACG